rnacentral:rRNA from 1 species
AUUGAACGCUGGCGGCAUGCUUUACACAUGCAAGUCGAACGGUAACAGGCCUUCGGGUGCUGACGAGUGGCGAACGGGGGAGUAAUGCAUCGGAACGUACCCAGAGGUGGGGGAUAACGCAGCGAAAGCUGUGCUAAUACCGCAUGUGAUCUGAGGAUGAAAGCGGGGGACCGAGCAGCAAUGUUUGGCCUCGCGCCUUUGGAGCGGCCGAUGUCGGAUUAGCUAGUUGGUGGGGUAAAGGCCUACCAAGGCGACGAUCCGUAGCUGGUCUGAGAGGACGACCGGCCACACUGGGACUGAGACACGGCCCAGACUCCUACGGGAGGCAGCAGUGGGGAAUUUUGGACAAUGGGCGCAAGCCUGAUCCAGCAAUGCCGCGUGCGGGAAGAAGGCCUUCGGGUUGUAAACCGCUUUUGGCAGGAACGAAACGGUGUCCGCUAAUACCGGGCGCUAAUGACGGUACCUGCAGAAUAAGCACCGGCUAACUACGUG